GGCGGACGGGUGAGUAAUAUAUAGGUAAUGUGCCCUAGAGAAGAGGAUAACAGUUGGAAACGACUGCUAAUACUCUAUAUGCCUUUAAGACAAAAGUCUGCAAGGGAAAUAUUUAUAGCUCUAGGAUCGGCCUGUACGGUAUCAGCUAGUUGGUGAGGUAAUGGCUCACCAAGGCAAUGACGCCUAACUGGUUUGAGAGGAUGAUCAGUCACACUGGAACUGAGACACGGUCCAGACUCCUACGGGAGGCAGCAGUGGGGAAUAUUGCACAAUGGGGGAAACCCUGAUGCAGCAACGCCGCGUGGAGGAUGACACAUUUCGGUGCGUAAACUCCUUUUAUAUAGGAAGAUAAUGACGGUACUAUAUGAAUAAGCGCCGGCUAACUCCGUGCCAGCAGCCGCGGUAAUACGGAGGGCGCAAGCGUUACUCGGAAUCACUGGGCGUAAAGAGCGUGUAGGCGGGUUAAUAAGUUUGAAGUGAAAUCCUAUGGCUCAACCAUAGAACUGCUUUGAAAACUGUUAACCUAGAAUAUGGGAGAGGUAGAUGGAAUUUCUGGUGUAGGGGUAAAAUCCGUAGAGAUCAGAAGGAAUACCGAUUGCGAAGGCGAUCUACUGGAACAUUAUUGACGCUGAGACGCGAAAGCGUGGGGAGCAAACAGGAUUAGAUACCCUGGUAGUCCACGCCCUAAACGAUGUUCACUAGUUGUUGUGAGGCUAGACCUUGCAGUAAUGCAGUAAACACAUUAAGUG
rnacentral:rRNA from 1 species